CCGGCCAAAGCAAGAACAAAGGAAGAAAAGAAAGAACAAGAACCCUAGGGUGAAAAUUCAAGAGAAAAUUGGUGGAUUUCAAGUAAUCAAGCAAUUAAAGGUAAAAUUUCUUGAUUUUGACUUGUGAUCUACCUUUCCCAUACAUUCUUUUGCAUUUUCCAUGGUUGAAUCACAAGAUAUCAUGAAGAUGUGCUGAUCAAACCCUAGGAGAGAGAAUUUGAUGAUGAUUUAGAUAGAUUUUUAAGAUAUAUGGAUGUUUUUAGUGAUUUAUGGUGUUAAGUGUAAGAAUUAAGCUUGAAAUUCACAUAUUCCUCAUGAAUUCAUCAUUGGCCGAAUCUUCCUUGUAGAGUGUUGAUGGUGGAUUUGAUUUUAUUUCAAGUGAAUUGGUUAGGAAAUGAUGAAUUAUGGUGAGAAAAUCAAGUAGGAAAAAUCAUAGUGUUGAUGCACUCACCAUGGCCGAAAUUCUCAAGAAGAAAUGUAAGGAUGAUUUUGCCAUAUUUAAAGUUAUUUAAUUUGUGUUUGAUGAUUUGGAGUAUUAGGAGAAAAAUGGAAUUAUUUGGAGUUGAAUUGGAUGUAUUGGCCAAUUAAUCGGGUGAUAGAUCGAAUUAGGCCAAUACCAUUUUAUUUAGGUACAUAACUGAAUUUAUAUUGAACACCGUAUUUAGAUAGUUACCCGAGUAUUUCACAUCUCAUUUCAUGCAUUAGUAUAGAGCCUGAAUUGGUUUUAUAACAAUUUAGCACAAAUGUAGUAAAUGGCUUAUUGUGCAUUAUGUCUAGAUGGUGAGCAUUCUGUCAAAAGUAAAGAGAUAGUACCCGAGGAUCACAAUUCGGAGUACUCGAAAUUCGACUCCCGAAAUAGUGAGUAACCUUACUAUCAUCUUAAUUAUCUAAAGUAGUUUUUAUCCAUUUUUGUGAAUUUUAUGGAAAAUGAGUUUAAAUGGUAAAUCUUUAUGUUUUAUAAACAAAAAGUGAUUAAAUGAAAUGAUUUUAUAAAAUUGUCUUGAAAUUGAAUGAUGGUUUUGAAAAUGGAGUAAUUGGAGACUAAUUGUUGUGUUGUAAAUUAUGGUUUGAAUUGAAUGACUUAUGAUAAUGUGGGCAUGAGUGGCUGGAUUUGAUAAAUGUACUGAAAAUGUGUGAAUUGUUGAUUUGCCUUGAGAGGCUGUAAAAUAAAAUAAUUACCAUGCCAUGCUAUUGCAAAUUUUAUUGAAUUGGUGGGUUAUAUAUUGGUCGCUGCAGUAGAUGGGUUUCGUGAACCAGCCUAUUAGAGGGGCACGGUAACCCUAUUAUAUUCUUACCUCAGUAUGAGAGGCGUAGAUGGAUAACUCAUAAGGUUAACACUUUAGAGUUCACUUCACGCCAAACCACCACGUGAGGGUGAACUUAGCCAACGUCAAGGAACGACUAUGUUUUCAAAAUAAAAACAUGAUUUAUGCAUACAUGACUUUUUAAUAGCCUUGGCAGACUCGGUUGGGAUAACCCUCGGCCAAGGUAUCCCUGAUAACUGAGUAUGAUAAUGAUUUUGGCACGAGCCAAACUUUAAGGAAAUCAUAAGCUACGUUGUUUAUUUUGGUGAAAUGAAUCUAUUUUAUCUUAUUAAAAUGAGUUCGAAAUGCUGAGAAUCAUUUUAUGCUAAUCUAUUUUAUCCGUCUCCAUUACUCAACUUUAGAUAUUUUAGAUGGUAUUUGUUUGCUCACUAAGAUUAUAUAAUCUCACCACCCUCAUUUCCACCCAUUUUAGGCUCAGGAUAGUCGGUAUAUAGCUCACUUUGUUGAAUGCUAUAGUUGGACUUGAAUCCUAAAAAACUGUAGGUUUACCACUUUUGAUACUUUUGGUCAUUCGUGGGCCCACGUGUCAUUGGAAAUUAAAUUUUAUACUUUGGUUAUCUGUAUUACAGUAUGUAUGAAUUUAUUUAGCUUUUACGCUACAAAAAUUAUUUACCAGUAACUCUAUAAAUAUUGUUUUAUAAGAAAAUAGAAUAUUUUAUUAAAUAUUUUUAUUAUAUUCAAAUAGUCAUAAUUUCAUUUUAAAUGAAGGUUUUAGAUGUUUAAACUUAUUUUUGAUUAUGAAUUAUGUGUUUUAUACUCGUAUACUACAUUUUGAGCUAGUUUCAAAAUUUUUGAGGAAAAAUGACCAAAAUGCCCCUGUGAAACAGAAAUAAUUUUUUUUUAUUGAUUUAAGUUGGAAAUAGCUUAAAAUCUUUUAGAACAUAAUAUUUGGCAAUGGUUACGCAUAGGGGAAAUGAGAAAUUGAUAUUAAAGCCUUGCGGGGUUUCGGUUGACAUUCCAGGUAAUGAGUGUCGAUCGGGACACCGUAGCGGUUGUCACGAGCUCGAGGGGAGUACCGGGUCGUUACAUUCACUCUUUUGGAAACCAAGGAAUUUCAAAUCCACCCAAAGAAAUGUGGUUUUUAUAGGAUCAAGCAUUAAACCUUCACAGUGGCUUUUCACAGAUCAACCAACCUUUACAAUGGUUUUUCACAAGUUUAACCAAAACCCUCAACAAUGCCUUUUAAUGAAAGCAAACACAACCCCUAACAAUAACUUUUCACAAGAGCAAAUACAACCCUAAAAAAUAGCUUUACAAAGUUAAGCUAGAACCUUUGCAAUGCUAAGAAGUUUAAGCUUGGGUGUGAAUAGAAGAAAUAUUUUCUCAAGGAUUUAAAAAUGAAUGAUUUUUCAAAGAUUGAUGGAAGACUACGAUGAAGGUUAGGGAGGGAAAAUAGGAAUUAAUAUUUCUUUAAGGUUUUCAAGUGAGUGUUGGUCUGCUCUUACUUCCAAAUGACUUAAAGGCAACCUUUUAUAGCUGAAGUGAAGUUUGGAGCCAUUAGACACAAGUUUGAAUUAAAUUUGGCCAAUGUUGAAACUUAAGGGUCAUCUACAAUGCUCCUAAGGUCAAUUAUGUUCUUCAAAUUUCUUAAAUUAGGGUUCCAUAGUUGAUUAUAAUCUUUCUUUACUCGAUCUAAUUCUUGAGAUUAUGUUGUUUGCAAAUCUGGGUUGAGAUAGUUGACUAUAGUGAAGCCAAGGUUGACUAUGUCUUUAAUUUUCCCUCUUUUUCAUGCAUCAAGCUUGCCAAGGUUGACUAUAUUUGUGUAAUUCUUCAAUUUUUUGAGCUUUCUACUUUCAGGUUGACUAUAGACACACCAAGGUUUACUAUGGCUUUGUAUUCUUUAAGUUUUCCAUUCAUUUUGCCUUUAGAUCGACUUGAGCUUCUCUAGGGUUGACUUUUGAUUUGUGUCUUAAGGAUUCCUUGACUUUUUG
rnacentral:lncRNA from 1 species